GAAAAGAACUUUGGAGAGAGAGUUAAAAAGUACGUGAAACCGUAUAGGGGUUAAGCCCGUUGAAUCUAAAUAUCCGAUGGAUGAAAUUCAAUACUGUCAAUCAUCUCUCUCGGGGGGUGGUUUACAAUAUGCACUUUUCAUCUAGUAGGACACUGCAAUCCGUUAGAUUAAAUAUAGUUGCUUGCAUACUAUAUUUGAACUUAUCAGUGGAAUUCUCUUAGAUUGUUUACCGUCUAUAGUACUUAUAAUACUAUUUGGUAAAUCUAUUUAGGAAUUUCGAUAAUGUUUGACUGACGGAUUUCACAAAAAAUCAUACAACAUGCAUAUGUAAUUCAUUUUUGAAUUUGUAUGUAUUUGAUUUGCAGUGCACUAUAGAUUUAGAUACCUUCGGGGCCCGUCUUUGAAACACGGA
rnacentral:rRNA from 1 species